rnacentral:rRNA from 1 species
UACAGAGGGUGCUAGCGUUGUUCGGAAUCAUUGGGCGUAAAGGGCGUGUAGGCGGUUUGUUAAGUCAUGUGUGAAAGCCCCCGGCUCAACCGGGGAACGACGCAUGAAACUGGCAAGCUAGAGUACCGAAGAGGGGGGUGGAAUUCCCGGUGUAGCGGUGAAAUGCGUAGAUAUUGGGAGGAACACCAGUGGCGAAGGCGGCUACCUGGACCGGUUCUGACGCUGAUGCGCGAAAGCGUGGGUAGCAAACAGG